UUCACUCACCUCUCAUCCAUUUCUCUCAUUUGCUCUAUCAUUCUUUUCCCUUCCUAUUUUCGACUGUUUCCCACUUGAAAAAGAGAGCUUUGCAAGUCCUUGGAGUUGUAGCAUUCAACAUCUUGGUGAUCUUUGAUCGACAUAACAAAGUAGAAGGAAGAAAAGGGAUGCACACUAGUUUAACUUCAGAGAAACACCAAACUUUUCUUCUAAACUUUUUUUCUUUAUUCUUUUUAAUUUGUUUUGAGAUUAUGAAUAUGUUUGCUAAUUGUUUUGAUGGUUUCAAUUUAAUUAAAAUGACUUAAAUUAUGUUAGAUUGGCUACAUUCUAUCCACUUAAACAAUUAAAAUUAUGUUUUGAUGUUAUAGGC
rnacentral:lncRNA from 1 species